rnacentral:piRNA from 1 species
UGUAACAGCUCUCUAAUUGGACUUUAGACUC